UGGAGUGAUGUAAGCGCCACUGUGGCCUC
rnacentral:piRNA from 1 species